CAGCAGCCGCGGUAAUACGUAGGUGGCAAGCGUUGUCCGGAAUUAUUGGGCGUAAAGGGCUCGCAGGCGGUUUCUUAAGUCUGAUGUGAAAGCCCCCGGCUCAACCGGGGAGGGUCAUUGGAAACUGGGAAACCUGAGUGCAGAAGAGGAGAGUGGAAUUCCACGUGUAGCGGUGAAAUGCGUAGAGAUGUGGAGGAACACCAGUGGCGAAGGCGACUCUCUGGCCUGUAACUGACGCUGAGGAGCGAAAGCGUGGGGAGCGAACAGGAUUAGAUACCCCGGUAGUCCCUGUCUCUUAUAC
rnacentral:rRNA from 1 species